UGACCAAUCUAAAAGUGAGGGGGGCAUUGUUGUGGAGAUACACAUUCAACACUAAUCUAAAGUGUGUGGCCUCUAAUUUACAUUAUUGCCUGAAAAGGAGGAUAUGGAAGGAGAGAAGGCAUUCAUUCCAUUACCCUAAUGAUGUCCUAUUGUUGAUUAACACUGGUGGGCUUUUACUUUUCUACUUUUGUCACUGACUCCUUCUUUUUCAGGCUUUUCCUUUAGAAGAAUUUAGAAGCAACGCUGUGAAUAUGACAUUUACCCAAAAGAAAAAUGGCCAAGUCAGUUGAGAAUAACCUUAUAAUGUGUUCAUGGAUUCCAAAUUCAACUCUCAGAACAAAACCCUCUGGCUUUUGAAGAGUGAGUCUCGCUUUGUGUGCAGGAGCCUCUAAGACAGUGUUGAUGGAGCAGAGAAUUGGUACUUUCUGAAGGCAACAACUAUCAAGAGGAGUUUAAAAAAAAAUAAAAAUUUUUUUCUGGAGCACCUGGGUGGCUCAGUGGUUGAGUGUUUGCCUUUGGCUCAGGUUGUGAUCCCAGGGCCCUGGAGUCACAUCCCACAUCAGGCUCAUGUGAGGACCCUGCUUUUACCUCUGCCUAUGUUUCUGCCUCUCUCUGUGAAUACAUAAAUAUUCUGUGUCUCUUGUGAAUAUAUAAAUAAAAUAAAAAUAUAUUUUUUUCUUUCUUUAUAA
rnacentral:lncRNA from 12 species